rnacentral:rRNA from 1 species
GAUGAACGCUGGCGGCGUGCCUAAUACAUGCAAGUCGAGCGAACAGACGAGGAGCUUGCUCCUCUGACGUUAGCGGCGGACGGGUGAGUAACACGUGGAUAACCUACCUAUAAGACUGGGAUAACUUCGGGAAACCGGAGCUAAUACCGGAUAAUAUAUUGAACCGCAUGGUUCAAUAGUGAAAGACGGUUUUGCUGUCACUUAUAGAUGGAUCCGCGCCGCAUUAGCUAGUUGGUAAGGUAACGGCUUACCAAGGCGACGAUGCGUAGCCGACCUGAGAGGGUGGUCGGCCACACUGGAACUGAGACACGGUCCAGACUCCUACGGGAGGCAGCAGUAGGGAAUCUUCCGCAAUGGACGAAAGCCUGACGGAGCAACGCCGCGUGAGUGAUGAAGGUCUUCGGAUCGUAAAACUCUGUUAUUAGGGAAGAACAAACGUGUAAGUAACUAUGCACGUCUUGACGGUACCUAAUCAGAAAGCCACGGCUAACUACGUG